rnacentral:rRNA from 1 species
AUCUUCAUCAUAAGCGAGGAGAGGGUUGGGUGUGCAGGGGCCAAUAAAAAAGGGGGGAGGAGGUUGUUUCAGCGGGCCCGCCUCACGAAACGCCGGGGGGCAUCCGCCCCCGGGCCCGCGCCCGCCGAAGACACACAAACGAACUCUUGUCUGAAGAUUGCAGUCUGAGUACUUGACUAAAUCAGUUAAAACUUUCAACAACGGAUCUCUUGGUUCCGGCAUCGAUGAAGAACGCAGCGAAAUGCGAUAAGUAAUGUGAAUUGCAGAAUUCAGUGAAUCAUCGAGUCUUUGAACGCACAUUGCGCCCCCUGGUAUUCCGGGGGGCAUGCCUGUCCGAGCGUCAUUGCUGCCCUCAAGCACGGCUUGUGUGUUGGGCUCUCGCCCCCCGCUUCCGGGGGGCGGGCCCGAAAGGCAGCGGCGGCACCGCGUCCGGUCCUCGAGCGUAUGGGGCUUCGUCACCCGCUCUGUAGGCCCGGCCGGCGCCCGCCGGCGAACACCAUCAAUCUUAACCAGGUUGACCUCGGAUCAGGUAGGGAUACCCGCUGAACUUAAGCAUAUCAAUAAGCGGAGGA